rnacentral:rRNA from 1 species
AGCAGUCGCCGCGGUAAUACAGAGGGUGCGAGCGUUAAUCGGAUUUACUGGGCGUAAAGCGUGCGUAGGCGGCUAAUUGAGUCGGAUGUGAAAUCCCCGAGCUUAACUUGGGAAUUGCAUUCGAUACUGGUUAGCUAGAGUGUGGGAGAGGAUGGUAGAAUUCCAGGUGUAGCGGUGAAAUGCGUAGAGAUCUGGAGGAAUACCGAUGGCGAAGGCAGCCAUCUGGCCUAACACUGACGCUGAGGUACGAAAGCAUGGGGAGCAAACAGGAUUAGAUACCCGAGUAGUCCCUGUCUCUUAUAA